rnacentral:rRNA from 1 species
AUUGAACGCUGGCGGCAGGCCUAACACAUGCAAGUCGAACGGUAACAGGAAACAGCUUGCUGUUUCGCUGACGAGUGGCGGACGGGUGAGUAAUGUCUGGGAAACUGCCUGAUGGAGGGGGAUAACUACUGGAAGCGGUAGCUAAUACCGCAUAACGUCGCAAGACCAAAGAGGGGGACCUUCGGGCCUCUUGCCAUCAGAUGUGCCCAGAUGGGAUUAGCUAGUAGGUGGGGUAACGGCUCACCUAGGCGACGAUCCCUAGCUGGUCUGAGAGGAUGACCAGCCACACUGGAACUGAGACACGGUCCAGACUCCUACGGGAGGCAGCAGUGGGGAAUAUUGCACAAUGGGCGCAAGCCUGAUGCAGCCAUGCCGCGUGUAUGAAGAAGGCCUUCGGGUUGUAAAGUACUUUCAGCGGGGAGGAAGGGAGUAAAGUUAAUACCUUUGCUCAUUGACGUUACCCGCAGAAGAAGCACCGGCUAACUCCGUG